AGGGAGAAAGUGGGGGAUCUUCGGACCUCACGCUAUCAGAUGAGCCUAGGUCGGAUUAGCUAGUUGGUGGGGUAAAGGCCUACCAAGGCGACGAUCCGUAACUGGUCUGAGAGGAUGAUCAGUCACACUGGAACUGAGACACGGUCCAGACUCCUACGGGAGGCAGCAGUGGGGAAUAUUGGACAAUGGGCGAAAGCCUGAUCCAGCCAUGCCGCGUGUGUGAAGAAGGUCUUCGGAUUGUAAAGCACUUUAAGUUGGGAGGAAGGGCAGUAAGUUAAUACCUUGCUGUUUUGACGUUACCAACAGAAUAAGCACCGGCUAACUUCGUGCCAGCAGCCGCGGUAAUACGAAGGGUGCAAGCGUUAAUCGGAAUUACUGGGCGUAAAGCGCGCGUAGGUGGUUCAGCAAGUUGGAUGUGAAAUCCCCGGGCUCAACCUGGGAACU
rnacentral:rRNA from 1 species